ACAAGUCGGGAGUCGGCGACCGCUUAGUGACGAGCGAUGAUUUUAAAGAGCAGAAUAAAAGGCUUUCCCGUGCCUGCCCCACAGCCCCUCCAGCUCGAAUAAUGGAGAACUGUCAAUGCACUCCGCGAGCGGUGGCCCAUUGUACGCAGCUGAUGGCGAGGAGGCGACUGGGGGUGGCAGGGGCUCCUUGCCCUCGCCCCUAUGCCCAAAUAAACGCUCAAACGCGCUCCCGUCUUCUGGUCAGUUAAAAGGUGAAACGAACACGAUUAAAAUAGACCAAAAGAAAAGAAAAGAAAACCUUUCUAUGUACAGAUUCUAAAUCGUACUCCCCAUACAGUCAGAGGCAGGGAGUCGAGGGCAGAGGCAGCAGGCGGAGAGAGGGAGAUAGGGCGAGGGAAGGAGAACGCGGAGAGAGACGAAGGGAGUGGGAGACCAGCGACAGCGAGCGCCAGGGCACCGCAGGCACACUGGAUGCCCGGUCCGCCGGCCCAGCCGCCCUCGGACCCUGGACCGUGCGUCGUGGGCACCAGAAACGAGACUCGGCCAAAUCCUGCCUCACCAGCAGGUAGAUGAAACUCAAGAGAAAAGGUGUGGAUAAAUGAAACUAGCUCAUGAUGAACCUGUUUUCUCCGUGACCACAAUAUUAACCAGGAUGAUGGCGGUGGCAGUGGGCCUGCAUCACAGGUUGCAGCAGAUAUUCUCAAUAUUUCUAUUAAAAUUUCCUUAUUUCCAUAUGCAAGAGGAGACCCAGAGCUGCAUCCUUAUGGUAGCUACCAUGCUGUGAUGUAAGCUGCCAUUCACUGGGGAGCUUUGGCAAUAGAAUUGGCUAGAUCAGCAAGUGCAUCUCAACUAUGGAACAACAACUUGCAGCUCAUCUCUAUUGAUGACGGAAUCUCACUGUGUCACCAGGCUGGAGUGCAGUGGCGCGAUCUCGGCUCAGCGCAACAUCUGCCUCCCGGGUUCAAGUGAUUCUCCUACCUCAGCCUCCCAAGUAGCUGGGAUUACAGGAAUCUAAUGACCAUUGAACUGUGGCCAUUACAAUUACAAGUAUUUUCUUCACUAAUGUCAGACUGUGGGCCUUUGUAUAUACACUUUUAACAAACUUUUUGGAAGUGCAAUACAUAUCACAACAACUUCUCAAUGCCGAAUCAUAGUGUUGGAAGACAUUUUAAGCAACAAUUAAACUCAACUUAUUUACUACCAAUAAUGCACAUAAGUCAGCUGAAGUGAGGAUAACAUGAAUAGCACAAAUACAUUAUGAUUGCUGCCUGGCCAACAGUAAUUAUAAGAAACCUUCAGUUUUGAGAUGUGUCUUGAUUUCAGAGAUGUUAAAAAAGUUUGUAAGUUACCAUUGAUAAAAAUAUGAGUUUGCUUCCGCAAAUAUUCUUUCUUCUCUCCUUCUGGAACUCAAGAGUAAACAUAUAUUAGAUUUUCUCACCAUUUCAUGCAUGCUGGUUCCUAGGCUACUCUCUGAGACAUUUUUUUUUUU
rnacentral:antisense_RNA from 1 species